GGUUGAGCAAACUUCUCGGUUUUGUCUCGCAAUUUCUCGGUUUUGUCUACGGCCUUGGUUUUGCUCCGGCCGUGAUUGGCGGGGGUCUGUGUAGCGAUUUGUACAUGUGAUGUGAGGUUUGCCUGGAUCUUGAGGUUGCCGCCGGGUGGAAGGUUGUGUUGCGCGUAGUGGUAGACGCUGGUUGCCCGUGUAUUUUCUGGAUCUUGUAAUUAUGGGGUUCUCUGUUUUGUACAUGAUGGGGGCAAGAAGUGAAAGGAGCAAACUUUGUCCAUAUUCUGUGUUUAGUGUUUAGUGAGGCAAUGCUUUCUGACGUACCCAGCUUGGGUGCCAUUCUUGUAAAGAUUUAAAGAUUGUAGUUCCUGCCUGGUGCCUUUGUUUGGUAUUUGUUGCACGAGUAAUUUGAACUUAAAUACUAAAUAGUUUGAUGCACCUACGAAAUAUGCGAAAUAUGCGGACUUGCACCUAUUCAAAUAUGCGAAAUAUGCGGACUUGCACCUAUUCUUUUGUUGGGUUAAUUUCAGUGAUUUGGACUAAAACUUAUGACCAAAAAAAACACUAAAACCGUUUUGUGAGAUGUCUUAUCGUGCAUCUAAUCUUUAAUCCUGCUAAUGAUUAACAAUAAACUGGGUGUAUGGCUUGUUUUAAAUGGCGACAUCUGUUUCAUGUAUUCUCCAAGUUAUUUCCUGAGAUUGACGAACACACUCAAUUUUGUCUGUUUAUUUGUACUGGUUUGGCAUCCUUGUAUAGAUUUCCGAAAUUGGUUUAUUAUCGAUCGGAUUUGAUGGUGCCGAAAAAUUGUCAUAUUGGCUGCUGAUGCUAGCCUUUUUAGAUGUUCACUAGCAACAGGUAGAAAUAAUGUUAUCUACCUCUGCCUAUGUUGUUUUUUCUGCUGGUUGGGGGGUGAGUGGAUUGAUUGGACCUGAAUGUGUCGGUUCUUUCAUGUGGAAAGAACAAGAAAACUUGUCUUAUUGCGACCAAUGCUUUAUGAUAAUGCUUGGUCGUGCUUGCUUCUUGGUUUCCUGGUCCCCUGGUUUCCUGUCUCUGUGCUAAAUGUCUUCUGGUGCUUUAAAGCUCC
rnacentral:lncRNA from 1 species